GAAGACAUAGCCAAGUGGACCAAGGCAAUGGAUUGUGAAUCCAGCACGUGGGGGUUCAAUUCUCAUCAUUCUCC
rnacentral:tRNA from 1 species